rnacentral:tRNA from 1 species
GGGUGUGUGGCUCAGUGGUAGAGCACUUGCCUAGCAUGUAGGAGGCCCUGGGUUCCAUCCC